rnacentral:rRNA from 1 species
ACCAUACCAUGCUGAAUAUACCGGUUCUCGUUAGAUCACCGAAGUCAAGCAUCAUUGGGCGCGGUCAGUACUUGGGUGGGUGACCACCUGGGAAACACCGCGUGCCGU